rnacentral:rRNA from 1 species
AGGGUUUGAUCCUGGCUCAGAAUGAACGCUGGCGGCGUGGCUAAGACAUGCAAGUCGAACGAACCAUUUAUGGUUAGUGGCGAAAGGGUUAGUAACGGUUAGGUAACGUGCCUUGUGCUUCGGGGUAGCCAUUCGAAAGGAUGGGUAAUACCGGAUGAUAUCAUUUGCUUGAUGUAGAUGAUCAAAGAUUUAUCGGCAUUAGAGCGGCCUAAUUCCUAUCAGCUUGUUGGUGAGGUAAUGGCUCACCAAGGCUCUGACGGGUAGCGGGACUGAGAGGUUGGCCCGCAACAUCGGGACUGAGACACUGCCCGGACCUCCACGGAGGGCUGCUUAACGAAUAUUGGGCAAUGGGCGAAAGCCUGACCCAGCGACGCCGCGUGCGGGAGGAAGUCCUUCGGGAUGUAAACCGCUUUUCGGAUUAAGAAAGACUUCGGUUUGAUCUACUCCGGAAUAAGUCACGGCUAACUUCGUGCCAGCAGCCGCGGUAAUACGAAGGUGGCAAGCGUUAUUCGGUAUCACUGGGCUUAAAGCGUGUGUAGGUUGAAAAGUAAGUGUCUUGUGAAAUCCAUCGGCUCAACCGAGGAAUUGCUUGGCAUACUGCUUUUCUUGAGGCAAGUAGGGGUACGUGGAACUCUUGGUGGAGCGGUGGAAUGCGUAGAUAUCAAGAGGAACGCCGAUGGUAAAGACAACGUACUGGGCUUGUCCUGACACUGAGACACGAAAGCGUGGGGAGCAAACAGGAUUAGAUACCCUGGUAGUCCACGCUGUAAACGAUGUAUACUAGGUCAUGGGAGUUCUGACGCUUUCACGGCCGAAGCAAAAGUGUUAAGUAUACCGCCUGGGGAGUACGGUCGCAAGGCUAAAACUCAAAGGAAUUGACGGGGGCUCACACAAGCGGUGGAGCAUGUGGAUUAAUUCGAAGCAACGCGCAGAACCUUACCUAGGUUUGACAUACUUGGAUGCCCUCUGUGAAAACGGAGUAAGCUGCUCUUCGGAGUGAAACUUGUACAGGUGCUGCAUGGCUGUCGUCAGCUCGUGUCGUGAGAUGUCGGGUUAAGUCCUUUAACGAGCGAAACCCUUACCGUUAGUUGCCAGCGCGUCAUGGCGGGGACUCUAACGGGACUGCCGGUGUUAAACCGGAGGAAGGUGGGGAUGACGUCAAGUCCUCAUGGCCUUUAUGCCUAGGGCUUCACACGUGCUACAAUGGUCGAUACAGAGCGACGCAAGACCGUGAGGUGGAGCAAAUCGCAAAAAGUCGGCCCCAGCUCGGAUUGCAGGCUGGCAACUCGCCUGCAUGAAGGUGGAAUCGCUAGUAAUCGCGUGUCAGCUAUAGCGCGGUGAAUGUGUUCCUGAGCCUUGUACACACCGCCCGUCAAGUCACGGGAGUUGGGAGUACCCGAAGUCAGUUUGCUAACCCUCGGGAAGCGACUGCCGACGGUAAGUCCGAUGACUGGGACUAAGUCGAAACAAGGUA